CUCUAAAUUGUUCAUAUUUGAUCUUUAAAAUUGUAACAAUUUGUUGUAAGAUGUAUUGAACAAUAUAUUUACACGGGGUUGGAUAAAAAAAUAAACUUGUUUUACGAUAAUAAAGAGCUUAAGUGUGUUAGAACGAGUUUUAACCAAAAGGCACCUGCUAAUCAAUUAGGUAGGUGUAAAUAACAAAGAAAAAUAUUCGGCUUCAUAGUUUUUAUCUUUAAAUACAUUAUGAUAAAAUAUAAUGCAAUUAUAAACUGUAAAACAUAAAACACUGACUUGAAAGAAAAAUGAUGAAUGGUUGAGCUUUAUGAUUCGUUUUUAAAUAACAUAACUGCCCCUAAGACAAUUAAUUGAUUUGCUUAUUAAGCUUAUUCCCUUUAACAAAGAUUGAUAUAAACCUCUUUCAGUAUAACAACUUCUUGGCUCUGCUAUACUUAUCUUUUUCAUAAUUUUAAUAUAAUACUUUCUUGGCUAUCAUGCAUCCAAAUGGAAAAUAAAAGUUAAGUAGGAAUUUGAAUUAUAAGAUUUUUCUUGUCAUACAGUUUUUAAUGCAUACUCUACUUUAAGAAAUGAGGGUAGUGAUGCACCACUUUUGAACUCAUGCCUCAAUUCCCUAAUUCUUAAUAUGGAAGGUUUAGAUAUUCAAACUGUACUCUGAAUUUUAAUGUUCUGAUGCACUUUCCUUUAUUUCUUUAUGAGAUGGAAGAUAUGAGGCCUGAAUUUGGAUAAAGAAAUAAAUAUUAGACAUCACAGAAGAAUUUUAAUUUGGAACAAGUUAUCAGCUAAAACAACAAUCUGCAAAAUGAUUUUAGUUGACCAUUCUAUAAUAUGGAAUCACUUAUGAAAUUACCUUCAUCUUUUGUAAACACUUCAAAAAUAGUACAUAAUUGAUGGAAUUGUUCUCUCUGCCAUCAAUUUUUCUUCUGCUCAUUAUACAAAAGUACUUGUUAACUAUAUAUAUAUAUAUAUAUAUAUAUAUAUAUAUCCAUCCGAUGGAUAUGACAAGCAUGGCAUGAAUCAGAUCAAGGUGCUGUUAUGCUUCUUUUUGAACACGUCGACUAGAGAUAAAAUCAAUUCACAUUGGUUACUCAUCGGCAGGACAAAAGCAGCUAAAUCAUGCAAAGUAUGAACUAGAGAAGGGGCAAUUAGUUUCAUAACAAUAAAAUAGAAAACAGAAUAAGCAAGAAUAAUUGUGAGUAAAAAAUGAUGAAACAGUCAUGACAGUAAGAUAGUUGAACUGAUUAAUACCAUAAAGUAGAAGUGGAUGGAACCUUGUGCUGGCUUUUCUUCACUGAUCAUCAAUUUUGCUUCAUGUUCUUCCCUAUUCACCUAUUUCAAGCCACUUACAUGAAAUAUUGAAAUGGAACUAAGCGCCACGUUUUGCUUGCUUGCUCCUUUUCUCUUUAUUAUUCUAAUCAAGUAACUGCUCCAGUCUUUCCCCUGCAAACACCAGGAGCAGUUUCUCCUUCCUGAUUCCAUAGGUGGACCUUACAUAGGAGAAACCUUUCAAAUGUAUUCUCAAUCAAAGUUUCAGUUGAGUACCAUUUUUCUAAAACCCCUCCAAGAGGUUUCAAAUGUGAUGAUGAUGAAAAAGAAAGGGAACACAUUUGAAAGGUUUCACGAAUGUAAGAACAACCAAUGCAACCAAGAGGGAGUAACUAUUCCUAGUGUUUGGAAGUGAUGGAAGUGAGGAAUUACUUGAAGAGAAGCAUGAAGGGAAAAGAAAGAAAUAUACAAAAGAUGGUGCUGAAUUCCAUGUCCACAUUAAGAGAAUGAUGUGUAAUAGGUGAAUAGAAAAGAAGAAGAAGAAGAAGAAGAAGAAGAAGAAGAAAUGUGAAAGAUGCAAGUUGCAGGGUUUGGAUUUAUAGUGUUGUUGGGAAUGCAAUGAGAGGGAAACAGAAGGAAGAGUGUGAAUUACAGCUCAAUUUCCACAGAUGGAAUCUCCCUCCAGCUCAUAACACAAUCAUGUGUUUGUGGUCUAAUUUACUUCUAUCUACAAUUUAUGACUUUAUUUCAGUGCAGUCAGUGUACUGAACCAUAAGCAUGUUCACAAACAACUGUCUCACCACCCAAUGGUCCAAAACUUUAAGGUUCAUUCCGUAAUUCCCAUUUGAAUAUGACACUAGUCAACAUUGGCUACUCCAGAACGGAUAUACUUAACGCGCAGUAAUAACACACUUUUAUACUUAUUUGACACAUAGU
rnacentral:lncRNA from 1 species